rnacentral:other from 1 species
CGGGUACUGCCCGGUACGAGGCCACGAAAAUCCCUGAGGCGAUUAAAUAUCCUAGGGAGCUGUCCCUGUCCGGAUCCUGGUCCGGUGCAUAUGGCCCCCACCUGACGUUUGUGGCGUCAGAGGAUUUCCGGCAAACGGCCACGGUGGUCCCGUC